rnacentral:rRNA from 1 species
ACGGGGCCCGCACAAGCGGAGGAACAUGUGGUUUAAUUCGAUGAUACGCGAGGAACCUUACCUGGGCUUAAAUGUAGAGUGCAUUUUUUAGAGAUAGAAAUUCCCUUCGGGGCUUUCUGCAAGGUGCUGCAUGGUUGUCGUCAGCUCGUGCCGUGAGGUGUCGGGUUAAGUCCCAUAACGAGCGCAACCCUUAUCGUUAGUUGCCAGCUGGUAAAGCAGGGGACUCUAGCGAAACUGCCACCGUAAGGUGAGAGGAAGGUGGGGAUGACGUCAAAUCAGCACGGCCCUUAUGUCCAGGGCUACACACGUGUUACAAUGGCCGGCACAGAGGGCAGCUACCUGGUGACAGGAUGCUAAUCUCGAAAACCGGUCUCAGUUCGGAUCGAAGUCUGCAACUCGACUUCGUGAAGCUGGAUUCGCUAGUAAUCGCGCAUCAGCCAUGGCGCGGUGAAUACGUUCCCGGGCCUU